rnacentral:rRNA from 1 species
ACCCAGACUCCUACGGGAGGCAGCAGUGAGGAAUAUUGGUCAAUGGCCGAGAGGCUGAACCAGCCAAGUCGCGUGAGGGAAGACGGCCCUACGGGUUGUAAACCUCUUUUGUCGGGGAGCAGAGCGAACCACGUGUGGUUCAUUGAGAGUACCCGAAGAAAAAGCAUCGGCUAACUCCGUGCCAGCAGCCGCGGUAAUACGGAGGAUGCGAGCGUUAUCCGGAUUUAUUGGGUUUAAAGGGUGCGCAGGCGGAGGUGCAAGUCAGCGGUCAAAUUGCGGGGCUCAACCCCGGACUGCCGUUGAAACUGGCGUUCUUGAGUGGGCGAGAAGUAUGCGGAAUGCGUGGUGUAGCGGUGAAAUGCAUAGAUAUCACGCAGAACUCCGAUUGCGAAGGCAGCAUACCGGCGCCCUACUGACGCUGAGGCACGAAAGCGUGGGUAUCGAACAGGAUUAGAUACCCUCGUAU